GAGUGUGCGAGGCACGCCUCGCUCAGCCCCGUCUCUUCCCCAAACGCGCCCGGAGGGUCACGUGCCGCAGGGAGUCGAGGGGACCUCCGUGGGACGCCCCGGGGAGGCGCUCCCGCCGCAGAAAGGUGGAGAGACAGUGUCCCUGGAAACUGCCUCCGGAGCCCGAGCAAGGCAGCGAGGCCAGGGGCUGCGAGACCAGGGGGAUCAAAGGGAGCUGCUGCACGGGCUGGAGGACAGCGCUCAGCCCCUAACCUCGCUCGCUCUGCCCUAACAACUGCCAUCCGGAGAGGUCAUAAACUGUUGGGGGAAAGGCAGCCCGUUAUCGUGCUGGAGGGAUGGUGUAGCUGGGAUGGGCCAGGGAAGAUGCAAGCGGCCAGGGUGUGCCUGGGUCUCGGGGAUGAGGCACGCACAGCAUUCGACAUCGUGUACAGCCCUAUCCCAGCCACGCCGCGCUCCGAUCAGAGACGUCAGCCACAAAAUCCUCGCCUUCCUUUUGCACGUUGUUCAGUUUUUGGAGCAGGGACCAUG